rnacentral:rRNA from 1 species
UACGGGGGGGAGCAAGCGUUGUUCGGAUUUACUGGGCGUAAAGGGCGCGUAGGCGGCCAGCGCAAGUCAGUUGUGAAAUCUCCGGGCUUAACUCGGAACGGUCAACUGAUACUGCGCGGCUAGAGUGCAGAAGGGGCAACUGGAAUUCUCGGUGUAGCGGUGAAAUGCGUAGAUAUCAGGAGGAACACCGGUGGCGAAGGCGGUUCUCUGGGCAUUACCUGACGCUGAGGAGCGAAAGCGUGGGGAGCAAACAGG